rnacentral:rRNA from 1 species
GACGAACGCUGGCGGCGUGCCUAAUACAUGCAAGUAGAACGCUGAAGCUUGGUGCUUGCACCGAGCGGAUGAGUUGCGAACGGGUGAGUAACGCGUAGGUAACCUGCCUGGUAGCGGGGGAUAACUAUUGGAAACGAUAGCUAAUACCGCAUAAGAGUAGAUGUUGCAUGACAUUUGCUUAAAAGGUGCAAUUGCAUCACUACCAGAUGGACCUGCGUUGUAUUAGCUAGUUGGUGAGGUAACGGCUCACCAAGGCAACGAUACAUAGCCGACCUGAGAGGGUGAUCGGCCACACUGGGACUGAGACACGGCCCAGACUCCUACGGGAGGCAGCAGUAGGGAAUCUUCGGCAAUGGACGGAAGUCUGACCGAGCAACGCCGCGUGAGUGAAGAAGGGUUUCGGAUCGUAAAGCUCUGUUGUAAGAGAAGAACGAGUGUGAGAGUGGAAAGUUCACACUGUGACGGUAUCUGACCAGAAAGGGACGGCUAACUACGUG